UUUGUAAAUAAAUUAAAUACACAUCGUUUAGCAAAGCCUGUUUAAAAUUUGAGCACAGCCAGCGAGAUCAAGCAAAAUUAGGGCAAAUAUAUAAAUAUUACGCAUACGCCACCGGCACCGAGCACCGAGCACGUCACAAGGCAUUCCCCGCUUGCUCUCGCUCUCUCUCUCUCUCUUGCUCUCUCUCUCGCUCUCUCCAUCUCUUAUCAAUAUUGAAUGAGCCCAAUGAGCGGACUACGUCAGCAGCUGAAGAUGCUGGGCACAGCGCUGCUGGGCAAACGUGCCACAAAGCCCGUUAAAAAGAAACCCUUCACAGAUGUCGAAAUCAAUGAUCUUCUGGUCUACGCGGCGUAUACGUAAUCUCUGCAUCAAAAUGCAGUGCAAAUUGCAUUAUUAUUAUCA